AUGAAGAGCCAAAUCUCAACGACGGCAGCGCCGCGUCCGAGGUCACGCACCUGGGUUACGAGGACGCUCCCGAUCAUGAAGAGCCCAAUCUCAACGCCGUUGGUGACGGCAGCGCCGCGUCCGAGGUCACGCAUCUGGGUGACGAGCAGGCUCCCGAUCAUGAAGAAGCGCCUACCGACAUGGGUCGUGGUGCGCCGGAAGAUGACUGGUAUCGGACGUUCAAAUUUCAAGAUUACUGCCGUACACCCUCUUAUUUUAUUCUUGAAAACGUACCUCGAAUUAUCACACAUUUUCACAUUUGCCGUAUCACCUUCUGCAUGGAGAUACGGGGAUGCUCCGGAUGAGUUCAGGUACAAGCAUUCCGGCGGCGAUGCUCCGGAUGAGUUCAGUUGCCUCCGGCUUGUUGCGGUGCCGGGCAAGGUGCUUUUGCUCAAAAUAUGCGUCAAGUCCUCUAGGCCGGAGGGGUUCCACGUCUUCGAGUUAUCGUCCGGGUCAGAGAAAGGUGACGGAGGGCCCGUCUGGCGCAAGGUGGCCGCGGACGACAUCGGUGGCGACCACGAAUUAUUCUUGGAUAGCUACCAUGCCGCCUUUGGCGAUGAUCGUGACGGCGGUGGGACACGGAUUUAUUAUUUUCAUGAUGAUUACUCGUCUGCGGUAACUAGUUGCGCCGCGGCGUACUGCUACAAUAUGAAGGAUAAUAAGCUCGAGUGCGUGUACAUGCCAUCUCGGGAGAACGGUGACAUAUAUACAACUAGGCCUAGUUGGUUUGUCCCUGGCUAA
rnacentral:rRNA from 1 species